GAUGAAGAACGUAGUGAAAUGCGAUAAGUAAUGUGAAUUGCAGAAUUCCGUGAAUCAUCGAAUCUUUGAACGCACAUUGCGCCCCCUGGCAUUCCGGGGGGCAUGCCUGUCCGAGCGUCAUUUCUGCCCUCAAGCACGGCUUGUGUGUUGGGUGUGGUCCCCCCGGGGACCUGCCCGGAAGGCAGCGGCGACGUCCGUCUGGUCCUCGAGCGUAUGGGGCUCUGUCACUCGCUCGGGAAGGACCUGCGGGGGUUGGUCACCACUAUAUUUUACCACGGUUGACCUCGGAUCAGGUAGGAGUUACCCGCUGAACUUAAGCAUAUCAAUAAGCGGAGGA
rnacentral:misc_RNA from 1 species